AGCUUGUUUUGCGAUGGCGGAGAUCGACCGCCGGUCGAAGUGAUGGUGUCGUUCAUCGGCAAUCCUCGUGGGAAGCAUGGGGUCGAGCCGAUCUGCAACGUCCUGCCGAUCGCCCCU
rfam:Jannaschia seosinensis strain CECT 7799 genome assembly, contig: 0222